AGUGAACGCUGGCGGUAGGCCUAACACAUGCAAGUCGAACGGCAGCACAGAGGAGCCUGCUCCUUGGGUGGCGAGUGGCGGACGGGUGAGGAAUACAUCGGAAUCUACUCUGUCGUGGGGGAUAACGUAGGGAAACUUACGCUAAUACCGCAUACGACCUACGGGUGAAAGCAGGGGAUCUUCGGACCUUGCGCGAUUGAAUGAGCCGAUGUCGGAUUAGCUAGUUGGCGGGGUAAAGGCCCACCAAGGCGACGAUCCGUAGCUGGUCUGAGAGGAUGAUCAGCCGCACUGGAACUGAGACACGGUCCAGACUCCUACGGGAGGCAGCAGUGGGGAAUAUUGGACAAUGGGCGCAAGCCUGAUCCAGCCAUACCGCGUGGGUGAAGAAGGCCUUCGGGUUGUAAAGCCCUUUUGUUGGGAAAGAAAUCCAUCUGGUUAAUACCCGGGUGGGAUGACGGUACCCAAAGAAUAAGCACCGGCUAACUUCGUGCCAGCCGCUGCCGUAA
rnacentral:rRNA from 1 species